rnacentral:tRNA from 1 species
GCCCGGGUAGCUCAGUGGCAGAGCAGCCGCCUUGUAAGCGGCAGGUCGGGGGUUCAAAUCCCUUCCCGGGCU